GUGCUUGGUUCAGCAGCCCAUAUACCUAAAUUGGAACAAUACAGAGAUUAGCAUGGCCCUUGCCCAAGGAUGAUAUGCAAAUUUGUGAAGCAUUAAUAAAAAAG
ensembl:snRNA U6 U6 spliceosomal RNA